ACGGGAGGCAGCAGUGGGGAAUAUUGCACAAUGGAGGAAACCCUGAUGCAGCAACGCCGCGUGAGUGAAGAAGUAUCUCGGUAUGUAAAGCUCUAUCAGCAGGGAAGAAAAAAGACGGUACCUGACUAAGAAGCACCGGCUAAAUACGUGCCAGCAGCCGCGGUAAUACGGAAGGUCCGAGCGUUAUCCGGAUUUAUUGGGUUUAAAGGGAGCGCAGGCGGAGAUGUAAGCCAGCCGUCAAAUCGUGGUGCUCAACGCCAUCCAGCGGUUGGAACUGCAUCCCUUGAGUGCACUAGAGGAAGGUGGAAUUCGUGGUGUAGCGGUGAAAUGCAUAGAUAUCACGAAGAACUCCGAUUGCGAAGGCAGCCUUCUGGGGUGUUACUGACGCUCAUGCUCGAAGGUGCGGGUAUCAAACAGGAUUAGAUACCCUGGUA
rnacentral:rRNA from 1 species